UACGUAGGGUGCGAGCGUUAAUCGGAAUUACUGGGCGUAAAGCGUGCGCAGGCGGUUUGUUAAGACAGAUGUGAAAUCCCCGGGCUUAACCUGGGAACUGCAUUUGUGACUGGCAAGCUAGAGUAUGGCAGAGGGGGGGUAGAAUUCCACGUGUAGCAGUGAAAUGCGUAGAGAUGUGGAGGAAUACCGAUGGCGAAGGCAGCCCCCUGGGCCAUACUGACG
rnacentral:rRNA from 1 species